CCAGACUCAUCACUUGAAGGCUCUUUUCUUUUUGAGUUGACAGCAACCACCUGGACAGCGUUAGGAAAUUCCAUACCAGAGAAGGUGAGGGCUUAGGGCAUGGCAGCAGCACUUUACAGCUGUGGGGAGCCGUAGGGACCGUGUGCGUGUCCCAUCCUAGGCAGGGAAGGAUAACCCCAGCAAACACAUUUCACACUUGUGCAUGUUUCUAAAAUUUCACGCCCUUGCUGUUCUUCCUAGGCUCGUGUGGGGAAACCAAGAGACAAUCUGGACCCUCUCGUGGCGUGCUGUGACAGCUCAACCAUCCCCAAGAACAGUGGCACUGGCCAAGCCCAAGCAAGAUUUUGGCAAGAACCAGUGCAGAUCUCUCUUCUUGUACAGCUGUGGACGGGAAUCAACAAUCUGGGAGCGUCCCCUGCUAGUGGAUUUUGGCUUCCCUUCUGAUCAGCUGCUGAAGUUGUCUGAACCAAAAAAAUAUGAGGCUGCUUACCUGCAGCAAAGACCUCGCCAGUCCCCUGAGUGGCCCAUAUCACCAGCUGCACUGAGCUACAAGGCCUCCCCACGGAUCCUGGAGCUUGCCCGACCAAAGGCGCUGCACCCAGAGUUCCUGCUGGCCAGAGAGGUGCCAACAAAGGUUACAAAUGCUGCAGCCUUGGCCAGAGCAUCCUCGCGGUUACAGCGUCUCGCAGAGCCCCGGGUCAGGAAGGUGACCUGUUGCUAUGAGCGCAGCUUUCCUGAAUCUGUCAUUCGUCCGGUUUCCAAGUUGGCUCAGGAAGCAAUUGCAAGCCCUCGGACCCUGGAGCUGGCUAGGGCAAAAAGAUUGCAUCCUGACUACGUGCCCCUGCAGGAUGCUGAGUGGCCAGUGACGAAGGCUGCAAAGCGCACGGUGGCCACGCCAAGGCUUGUGGAACUGGCCCAGCCCUGCAGAAGGCCUCCUAUGGGCUCAGCUCAAUUCAACCCAGACGCGUUCACAGUGAAGGAGACUGCUAAGAAGGCAACUUGUUCUGCUCAGAUCCAAGAACUGGCUCGCCCGAUUAAGCGCUGAGCUCCCUCAGAAACACAGCCCGCUGCUCGUGCCAGCUGCCCCCAUCACCCCGUGGAACAUCACCCUCUUUGGGCUGUGCUGUGGCUGGAAAACCUCCUUGAACACCGUGCAGAGGCAGCACCCAGGAGGAACACUUCCUUACGAGCAGCCACUUUUACUGGGCUUAUCUGGGGACUUAAAUAAAAUGGUCAUUCCUUAAGAACAAAAUAGUCACUGGGGGAAACGAGCAGAAUUUGACCUAAUGUGGGAAGCCUCUCUCCCUAGGCUGGGUUAUGUCUGGAGCUUAUCACUCUUGUUUUUUUGCUGCAAUAGUUAAAGAAGUAAUGAAACAGCUGCUGGGGGAAGCCAGCACAGGAACUGUUCUUUCACGUAAAGAAGUGUGGCAAACCGAAGCUGACGGCGCACAGUAGGUUGAUGCAACAGAACUCCUGACCUUUGGUUUCAAAAUUUUUGCUAAAGUUUAGAGGGCUUCUUAGUGGCACUCAAAGUUUUAUGCUUAUGACAGAAGUAGAAACACAAAAGGCUGCAAAAUUCCAGAUCCAGGGCUGGAUUUGUUAAGGUGCAAAGCUUUAGUACAGACUUAGGAAAUGCUGGGGUGGCAUGUGCAUUGAGUUGGCUUGGAUUUGGGGCCUGUUUUCUCAAAUGCCUGGAGAAUGGGAAGAUCCAGCCUUUUGCUUUGCAUGCAUCUUUGAUACAAGUUACACAGGUGGGUUAAAUCUGUGCGGUUCAGAUACUCAGUUUUGUGACCCUGGGCAAAAUAAUGGAGCUCUGCAUUGGGAUCUUUGGAGCCUAACUGAAAAAAGCGGAGUUUUCCUCAGUGUAAGGGAGAAGGCACAUUGCAAAGACUAAGAAGAAAACAGAUACCAGUGCCAGACUCUGCAGAAUAAACUCUGAGCCCCAGUUGGGUCUGAGGGUGAGUCAGUUUGGCAGCUGGACUGCAGGGGAACAACACAGCCUGUGUGGGAACUGCACAGGGAGAUUGCUUUUAUCUGUUUCCUGCAGGUUCAGUGUGCUUUGCCCUGGCAGCCCAACCACUGGCGAUGGGCUGGAGAUACUGAGGCAAGAGAGAUCCUCUCCAGCAAGGGACAAAAGCCAUAAAUGAAAGCAUGUGGCAGUUUUGGUGCCAGUGUAUCUUCUUCCCUCUGUUAGGCUGAUUCUCCUUCUAAAGGAGUAGAGGCAGGUGACCACAAACCACGACAGGAUCCACCAAUUGAUUCAAUAAUCCACUAAGCAGAGGAUUUUUGAACCCUUUUGAACAAGCGACCAGGCAAGUUUUUGCAGGGGAAUCACAAACCAGAGGAUGCAGUAUCUUUUGGGGGCAUGGGCUUGGACCCAGCAAUCACCCCAUCUUCCCUCCUGAUCAGUGUCCUGGUCCUCUUCCUAGCAGCAUGGCCAGACAUCACAGAAAGCUGGCGGUGAGCAGUUUUCAUCCUUGCAAAGCACAUCAAGAAGAUGGCACUACCUAAAGCAAGAAUACAACUUCACAAUACACUAUAAAUACGCUACAAGAAAUGUUGAAACAUUAAUUAAAAAUGUAUCAAAUGCCCAUCAAGAUUAUUUCAGACCAUGAUAAGGAAACUUCUGCUCCUACAUAGGAAUCCUUCUCCCUCAGUCUUCAUAGGCAGUCGUGCAGAAGUUACUGUGAAGUGGUGUUCACCUUCAAAAACUCCAAAAUGUUCUAGACAUUCCCAAGCACAAGAACCAUCCCAUCCAUCUUCUUUGUAGAGCUCUGCUGAACGAGAGGUCUCUUGUCUUGGGUAAGACUAGAAAGAAGUAGGAUCCGUGACAUACAUCUCCACUUUUCUUCACAAUUUUUUCUGUCAAAAUUUACCUGUGGGAAUUGCCAGAACUUUUUAAAUUACAGAAAAUGAAGUACAGAUGUCAGGGGCAGAUUUGGUGAGUACUUACAUGCGGUGCUGAAUUCACCACUUUUCAAAUACACAGAAAAAUAGGAAGAUUUAAAGUCAGCUUUAAGGUUAUAUUUUAAGCAUUCAUAUGCUGGGAGCAGUGCUCUAGUGUAAUUACGAUUGUCAGCCUACAAGCUAUUUUUUAUUUGGUUUUGUUUCAUUUAGUGGUGUUUACAAAGACAACUAUUUUUUC